rnacentral:rRNA from 1 species
AACAACUCACCUGCCGAAUGAAUUAGCCCUGAAAAUGGAUGGCGCUAAAGCGGGUAGCCGACACCAUGCCGUCUGUUUAAGUGAUAACAGAUGAGUAGGAGGGCGUGGUGGCCGUAUCGAAGCAUGCUUGCAAAAGCGUGUGGAACGGCCACUAGUGCAGAUCUUGGUGGUAGUAGCAAAUAUUCAAGCGAGAUCCUUGAAGGGCGAAGCGGGGAAGGGUUCCACGCGAACAUUGAUUGGGCGUGGGUGAGUCGUUCCUAAGCCGAGUGGCCAUUGCUAAAUACCGGCGAAAGGGAAGCGGGUUUAAAUUCCCGCACACGGAUGUGGAGGCGGUGACGCUUUACUGAGGCGAAUACGCUGGCGGUGGCGCUGGGCAGAGAUGUCUUUUCUGUUUAACCAUUUAUCAAGCAGUGUGGAAUCCGCUUGUCGGGAGAAACACGCUUGGGAGGGAAGAGCGCCGGGCUUUUUCCGGCGUCCAGCUCGCCACCGACGGCCCUUGAAAAUUUGCCUGCUGAUUAAAAUCCACGCCGUGGCGUACCGAUAACCGCAUCAGGUCCCCAAGGUGAACAGCCUCUGUCCAAUAUGAACAAU